rnacentral:rRNA from 1 species
CACAUCUGCCAUACCGGCGAAUCAAAACCUGAUUUAGUCACAUCUCAGAGGCUAAGUAAAACUGGACCUGGUUAGUACUUGAAUGGGAGACCACUGGGAAUACCAACUGUUGUUAUGU